GACCAGGUCACCAAGGGCAUACGGUGGAUGUCUUGGCGUCAGAAGGCGAUGAAGGACGUGGGUACCUGCGAUAAGCGUUGGGAAGCCGGGAACCAGGCAAUGAUCCAACGAUUUCCGAAUGGGGAAACCCGGCCCUUAGGGGUCACCUGUAUCUGAAUGCAUAGGAUGCAGGAGUGAACCUGGUGAACUGAAACAUCUCAGUAACCAGAGGAAAAGAAAGCAAACGCGAUUCCGUAAGUAGCGGCGAGCGAAAGCGGAACAGCCUAAACCGGGUUUCGG
rnacentral:rRNA from 1 species